CGUGUAGGCGGAUGGGGACGUCGGUUGCUGAAAGCCCCCGGCUCAACCGGGGAACUGGCGCCGAAACGCCUCGUCUUGAGGGACGUAGGGGGACCUGGAACUUCCGGUGGAGCGGUGAAAUGCGUUGAGAUCGGAAGGAACGCCCGUGGCGAAAGCGAGGUCCUGGACGUUUUCUGACGCUGAGACGCGAAAGCUAGGGUAGCGAACG
rnacentral:rRNA from 1 species